rnacentral:rRNA from 1 species
AUUCGAUGGAUUUGUUUAUCGAGUUUACAAACUCCCAAACCCUUUGUGAACCUUACCAUAUUGUUGCUUCGGCGGGACCGCCCCGGCGCCUUCGGGCCCGGAACCAUGUUAGAUUGGGCGUCCUCCGGAGGCCCCAAACUCUUAUGUCUUUAGUGGUUUUCUCCUCUGAGUGACAAACGGCCAAAUAAAUAAAAACUUUCAACAACGGAUCCUUGGUUCUGGUCACCUGUGGUUCGGGGGGCGAAAUGCGAUAAGUAAUGUGAAUUGCAGAAUUCAGUGAAACACCCAUAUCUUUUUCUGAACGUCUUCGCAGGCGAGCCAAUAUCCCUGUUCACAGCCCUUUUGAAUGCGGGACUGCUGCCCCAAUCCCGUUGCCCUGCCUGGUGUUGGGGAUCGGCCCAGCCUUCUCGCAAGGCCGCCGGCCCGCCGGCCCCCUUUGGUUUGUUCGUCAGACGCUACAAUCGACCGAGAUUAUCAUGACCCCCGGUAGUAGCACAACCUCGCAGUUGGAACGAUAUACCAUCUGGCGGUGGCCAUGCCGUUAAACACCCCACUUCUGAAAGUUACCUACGGGAAAAA